rnacentral:rRNA from 1 species
GAACGGGUGAGUAACACGUGAGUAACCUGCCCUUGACUCUGGAAUAAGCGUUGGAAACGACGUCUAAUACUGGAUACGAGCUUCAGCCGCAUGGCUAGGAGCUGGAAAGAAUUUCGGUCAAGGAUGGACUCGCGGCCUAUCAGGUAGUUGGUGAGGUAAUAGCUCACCAAGCCUACGACGGGUAGCCGGCCUGAGAGGGUGACCGGCCACACUGGAACUGAGACACGGUCCAGACUCCUACGGGAGGCAGCAGUGGGGAAUAUUGCACAAUGGGCGAAAGCCUGAUGCAGCAACGCCGCGUGAGGGACGACGGCCUUCGGGUUGUAAACCUCUUUUAGUAGGGAAGAAGCGAAAGUGACGGUACCUGCAGAAAAAGCACCGGCUAACUACGUGCCAGCAGCCGCGGUAAUACGUAGGGUGCAAGCGUUAUCCGGAAUUAUUGGGCGUAAAGAGCUCGUAGGCGGUUUGUCGCGUCUGCUGUGAAAACUGGAGGCUCAACCUCCAGCCUGCAGUGGGUACGGGCAGACUAGAGUGCGGUAGGGGAGAUUGGAAUUCCUGGUGUAGCGGUGGAAUGCGCAGAUAUCAGGAGGAACACCGAUGGCGAAGGCAGAUCUCUGGGCCGUAACUGACGCUGAGGAGCGAAAGCAUGGGGAGCGAACAGGAUUAGAUACCCUGGUAGUCCAUGCCGUAAACGUUGGGAACUAGAUGUAGGGACCAUUCCACGGUUUCUGUGUCGCAGCUAACGCAUUAAGUUCCCCGCCUGGGGAGUACGGCCGCAAGGCUAAAACUCAAAGGAAUUGACGGGGGCCCGCACAAGCGGCGGAGCAUGCGGAUUAAUUCGAUGCAACGCGAAGAACCUUACCAAGACUUGACAUAUACGAGAACGGGCUAGAAAUAGUUCACUCUUUGGACACUCGUAAACAGGUGGUGCAUGGUUGUCGUCAGCUCGUGUCGUGAGAUGUUGGGUUAAGUCCCGCAACGAGCGCAACCCUCGUUCUUUGUUGCCAGCACGUAAUGGUGG